ensembl:lncRNA
CCUGAUGCUGCCACCUGAACCCCAGGGAAUGGAGGGGAAUGGGCUGGGGGAGGCGCCGGGGAAGGCCCUAGAAGGAAAAGAUGCUGCCANAGGCCCUGAUGCUGCCACCUGAACCCCAGGGAAUGGAGGGGAAUGGGCUGGGGGAGGCGCCGGGGAAGGCCCUAGAAGGAAAAGAUGCUGCCACCCUUCACCCCUUAGGGGGCCAGACAGGGAGGGUGGUUGUGUUCUUGGUCAAAGCCCUGGUCGGGCCCCUUCUAAGCCCUUAGCNUCUUGGUCAAAGCCCUGGUCGGGCCCCUUCUCAGCCCUCAGGCCCCUGGGGUCGGGGCCUGCUCCUGCUGUGCCUGCUGCUCCCCGCCCGCUCUGGGGGCGUCCUCUGGCGCUGGGCACUUGGACGUUAGGAGUGGGGAGGCCAGUGGGAAGGCCACUCGGCCCUGUCCCUGCCCUGCAGUCUUGCUCUGGUGCCAUCGCAGCCACCCUCCCUCCAGCCCCUGUGUCUGCCCUCCCGGUGCCACUGAACACUGCCUCCAGCAGCCCCUGUGCACCCAGAGGAGCCUGGAAAUGGGGAUCUCCUUGAGCCCAGGGCAGCUCGCAGGCUGGGGUGGAGAGAGCGGGUGGAGGAGGGGCUUUCGAGGAGGCUGCACUUGGGCAAACUGGCACCACUCUCCCUGGGGAGGCCACUGUGAAGUCUCCAUCUCUUUGUCUUUUCAGGAACCAGCGUUUGUAGGUGGUGACCCACCCCUUGUCUGGCCUUGUCAGGAGACUCCAAUCCCUGCCCAGGGGCCACCCCUGGCCCCAGAGCUGCCUGGGGAGCAGCUGGGCGAAGGGCCUGGCCCAGGAGGAGAGAAAGGACCUUCCCGGCAGAGGCUCGCCCCCCCCAGCCCAGGAUCCCGCUGGAGAAUCUCUUCUGGAUGGGCUUGGAUUGGUCCUGGAGGCCCCAGGUGUGGGGUUCCCUGGUGCACCAGGAAGGCCAGGCGUGGCCCCGAGGGGAGCCAGGAAGGACCCCGGUCCCACAGCGGCUCUGCCACUGGUUGCUCUAGGCCCCAGGCUCCAAAUUCCUGGGACUGAAAACCCAAGCAGUCUGGCCAGGCCCGGGGACAGAGUGGCCCAGUGUCACACCUCCUGCCCUCCUCAGCUACGAAGCUGGAGGCCAGGUCCUGAGUGAAGAGCUCUGCCCACCUCAGCCCGGGGACUGAGGCCAGAUGAGGCCACCAUGUGUCCCCUGCAGCUUCCCACAGACAGGGUGUGAUGGCUUCCUUCCUUGUGCCAAGUGUCCUCGUGGCGCUUCCUGUGCCCCAUCCCUUUCCACCCUGGACCACUUCUGGGAGCCUGCCAGCCCGCCCACUCCAUCCGCAGAUGUCUGGGGACAGCGCGUGAGAAGAGAGGACAAGGGGCCUCCUUAGCUGAUGCACAGAUGUGCCCCUUGCAAGGCCCCGCCUCACCCUCGGGGUGACCUGCUCCCCAGCUGCGGCUUUGUUGCUCUGCUGGAGCCCCCUGGGGCCUGUGACUCCUUUUCCCCAUGGGGGGGGGGAGCCUCAAGGCCCUGGCCGGAGAGCCCUGCCUUGCGGGGCGCCCCAGCCCCUGCCUGCCCCGCCGCGGGGGGCCUGGCAAGUCUCCGCACAGCCCCCCGAGGGACCGGCCGGGGCUGCACUGCCCCCACCUGUGCUGCUGCCUUGCUUUUCUGACGGUUUUUGGCCUUGGAGUAGUUCGCAGCCUGCCCUGCCCACACCCCCAC